rnacentral:tRNA from 1 species
CAGAGUAUAGCCAAGUCAGUAAAGCAUCUCCCUUACACCGAGAAGUCGCCCGUGCAAAUCGGACUACCCUGA